rnacentral:rRNA from 1 species
UACGUAGGGACCAAGCGUUGUCCGGAAUCAUUGGGCGUAAAGCGCGCGUAGGUGGCCAUUUAAGUCCGCUGUGAAAGUCAGAGGCUCAACCUUUGAAAGCCGGUGGAUACUGGAUGGCUAGAGUACGGAAGAGGCGAGUGGAAUUCCUGGUGUAGCGGUGGAAUGCGCAGAUAUCAGGAGGAACACCAAUAGCGAAGGCAGCUCGCUGGGACGACACUGACGCUGAGGCGCGAAAGCGUGGGGAGCGAACAGG